rnacentral:rRNA from 1 species
UACGAAGGGGACUAGCGUUGUUCGGAUUUACUGGGCAUAAAGCGCGCGUAGGCGGAUCGCUAAGUCAGGGGUGAAAUCCCAAGGCUCAACCUUGGAACUGCCUUUGAUACUGACGAUCUGGAGAUCGGGAGAGGUGAGUGGAAUUCCGAGUGUAGAGGUGAAAUUCGUAGAUAUUCGGAGGAACACCAGAAGCGAAGGCGGCUCACUGGCCCGAUACUGACGCUGAGGCGCGAAAGCGUGGGGAGCAAACAGG